GGAACUUGCCAGAGAUGGCUUUGGUGCUACGAAAGAGAACCUGGACACAGGUGCUGCAUGGCUGUCGUCAGCUCGUGUCGUGAGAUGUUGGGUUAAGUCCCGCAACGAGCGCAACCCUUGUCAUUAGUUGCCACCAUUCAGUUGGGCACUCUAAUGAGACUGCCGGUGACAAACCGGAGGAAGGUGGGGAUGACGUCAAGUCCUCAUGGCCCUUAUGGGUAGGGCUUCACACGUCAUACAAUGGUCGGUACAGAGGGUUGCCAACCCGCGAGGGGGAGCCAAUCCCACAAAGCCGAUCGUAGUCCGGAUUGGAGUCUGCAACUCGACUCCAUGAAGUCGGAAUCGCUAGUAAUCGUGGAUCAGCAUGUCACGGUGAAUACGUUCCCGGGUCUU
rnacentral:rRNA from 1 species